rfam:Arabis alpina cultivar Pajares chromosome 4, whole genome shotgun sequence.
GUCGAGCUUAGUAACGUGGGCUUGUGAUCCGAGUGGAGACAAUAAAGGUGAUGGGACAUUGGACCGAUCUCAUUGGGCCGGGUUCGGGUUGGGCUAAUUAUACUGGCCCGCCCAUUCCAAGUCGGGAGUUGAGUUAUCGGACUCGAGCGAAGGCUUGUGGUUCGGUGACUCUUAGAGCGGAGGGGACUGCGUGAGGCUGGUUUCACAGAGCAGCGUUCACCUCCCGCUCUUGACGGUGGAAGGAUUACGGGCCGGUGCCUUCCGAGUCCACUUUGACCCAAUAAGCCGGUUCCAAUUGGACCAUCACUUUU